UACGAAGGGGGCUAGCGUUGCUCGGAAUCACUGGGCGUAAAGCGCACGUAGGCGGAUUGCUAAGUCAGGGGUGAAAUCCUGGAGCUCAACUCCAGAACUGCCUUUGAUACUGGCGAUCUUGAGUCCGGGAGAGGUGAGUGGAACUCCGAGUGUAGAGGUGAAAUUCGUAGAUAUUCGGAAGAACACCAGUGGCGAAGGCGGCUCACUGGCCCGGUACUGACGCUGAGGCGCGAAAGCGUGGGGAGCAACAGG
rnacentral:rRNA from 1 species